ACUGUGUGUUUGAGGAAGGUGAGAGGAUGAUGAGAAAUAAAUUAAGUUUAAAAAAAGGAGUAGAGGAGGUGCUGUAGAGGAGGAUGAGAAAAAGAGGAGA